rnacentral:piRNA from 1 species
CACCAACCAAAAAGCAUGCAG